GACGAACGCUGGCGGCGUGCUUAACACAUGCAAGUCGAACGGAAAGGCCCUGCUUUUGUGGGGUGCUCGAGUGGCGAACGGGUGAGUAACACGUGAGUAACCUGCCCUUGUCUUUGGGAUAACUUCAGGAAACUGGGGCUCAUACCGGAUAGGAGCUCCUGCUGCAUGGUGGGGGUUGGAAAGUUUCGGCGGUUGGGGAUGGACUCGCGGCUUAUCAGCUUGUUGGUGGGGUAGUGGCUUACCAAGGCUUUGACGGGUAGCCGGCCUGAGAGGGUUACCGGCGACAAUGGGACUGAGAUACGGACCAGAAGCCUACGGGAGGCAGCAGUGGGGAAUAUUGCACAAUGGGCGGAAGUGUGAUGCAGCAACGCCGCGUGCGGGAUGACCGGCUUCGGGUUGUAAACCGCUUUCGCCUGUGACGAAGCGGGAGUGACGGUAAUGGGUAAAGAAGCACCGGCUAACUACGUG
rnacentral:rRNA from 1 species